rnacentral:rRNA from 1 species
AUUGAACGCUGGCGGCAGGCCUAACACAUGCAAGUCGAACGGUAACAGGAAGAAGCUUGCUUCUUUGCUGACGAGUGGCGGACGGGUGAGUAAUGUCUGGGAAACUGCCUGAUGGAGGGGGAUAACUACUGGAAACGGUAGCUAAUACCGCAUAACGUCGCAAGACCAAAGAGGGGGACCUUCGGGCCUCUUGCCAUCGGAUGUGCCCAGAUGGGAUUAGCUAGCAGGUGGGGUAACGGCUCACCUAGGCGACGCUCCCUAGCUGGUCUGCGAGGAUGACCAGCCACACUGGAACUGAGACACGGUCCAGACUCCUACGGGAGGCAGCAGUGGGGAAUAUUGCACAAUGGGCGCAAGCCUGAUGCAGCCAUGCCGCGUGUAUGAAGAAGGCCUUCGGGUUGUAAAGUACUUUCGGCGGGGAGGAAGGGAGUAAAGUUAAUACCUUUGCUCAUUGACGUUACCCGCAGAAGAAGCACCGGCUAACUCCGUG